AUGUGAGAAUGAAUAAGCUUACACGGGCUAAGUAAAUAAACAUAAUUACUAAGUGUGAUUAGAUAUAAGGUAGAACAGACAAAUCACAUGCAGAGUAGGAAAAAAGAAAACUCUAUAACUGG